UCCAACAGAUGUUAAACUCAAACUAUAUUCUGUAGAAGAUCUUGCAGGAUGGACUCCCGGAGGCCGUGUCUAAAGGGACCGAAUGAAGGAGGGAGUGUUUGUUACAUUAUGUUUUGGUCAGGGCUGAAACAAGCCUAGCCCUGUAUCUAAUCUUAUUUCUGGAAAGGCUUUUCCUGAUCUUAUUUUCUACCACAGUGAAUAAAGGAGAGUAAAGAGAGGAGAGUUGAAUCUCCUCUCCCUUUCUCAGUGGGUACACAGGGAUUUCCAUUUUUUCUAUAAUUUAUUUCUUUUAAAUCAAGGUUUUUCAGGCUCAGCACUCUUGACAUUUGGGGCCAAAUGAUUCUCUCUUGGGCUGUCCUGUACAUUGUAGAAUGCUUAGCAGCAUCCCUGGCCUCUGUCCACUAGCUUCAGUGCCACUCCCCAGUUUUGACAACCGAAGAUAUUUCCACACGUUGCCAAAUGUCCCCUGGAGAGGAAAAUUGCCACUCCUCCAACCCCCAAUGAGAACCAUUGAUUUAUAAUAAAAAACAAAUAACCACAAAUAGAAUAAAUUAAGGAAAAAGAAGAAAAUGUUACAAGGGUGUCCCAAAAUUCUGUGCUAAAUUGGGGACGGGUGAGCACACAAUAAUAUGCUGUAUUAUUCAACAUCUUUAAACUCUUCCCACAGGCUCAAAAGGAAAAUGUAUCUUGUUAGUCCUUUUUAUAGAAGAUAUAAAUCUUUUAGCUUUUGGAUCAUUGAAGGUGAUGUUUCCAAUAAACUGCUGCCUUCCUUCCACCACAGGCUGGACACACCCUGGCAGAACCAACCCAUGGGGAUGCUGCUCUUUGAUCUGCCCCUUCACACAUUUCUUUCAGAGAUGAUGGCAAUUCGUCUUCACUCCUGAUGCUGUAUGUCGGCCAGUUUAUUGUUUCUGCCUGAUCUUCAGCAAUCUAUGACCCCCCCUCCUUCAUAUUCCUUCCUGUCUAACCCAUUCUUUAUACUUUCACAGAGUGAUUUUUCUAAUAGUUGAUAUUCCUGUAUUUAAACUCCUUCAAAAUAAGAUCCAAACACCUCAGAAUGGUGCAAUAAUUGCUAUGUGAUUCCUCUGCAGAUCACCUGGAGUUGGCACAGACUCAUAGGGUAAGGGAACGGUCCCUCAUAAGACUGCUCUCAGUUCAGAUGCCAGGCACAAGUUCAGAGAUCCCCAGGCUACCCACACUUCUGACCAACUGGCUACAAAUUCAGAGGUCCCCUUAAUUACCUAAGUGCCCAGGGUUGAGCGUCCUUGAACACACCUUGCUGUUGUAGACCCUGCACAUGCUAUUCCCUCUGCCUACCUCUGUUUUCUCCUUGGUCUGUCCAGCGAAGUCCUCCUCAUCUGUCAAGACACAGAACGUGUCCUCUGGCCCUCCUUUGCUGCCCUUUCCGGCACCUCAUCCUCAUGCUCUGGCACAGUGGCAGUUCAUCAUUACAGACAUCCCCCUUAGCUUCUGAUGGGUGAGCAAAGCGACCAUCGAAGAUCUUGUGGCUGACAGUCCUGCCUGGCCAUUCGUGCUUUGGCGAACUCAUGGAUAACAUUGCUGAGAUGACACAGGCAGGUUUCCUCUGCUCCUCCACUACCUCCUGGGCUAUUACAUCUUGCAGUCCAGACACAAUAAGAGACACUGUGUAGCUUCUCUUUCUCAGUUCUGGUUCCAAAGUUCCUGGAAGAGAAGUUUUCGUGGCCUGGCUUGCCUCAGAGCCAAGACUGAGCACCUACAGCCUGAAAACUUGGCUGAGUUGAGUCACAUAGUUACCCUGACCAACCAAUCAGACGGUGCCAGGAGAGUGAGGUCUCAUUGCACUAACAUGACCACAUUGUAAAUUCAGAAAACAGGGUGCUAAUU